AGAGUUUGAUCCUGGCUCAGGAUGAACGCUAGCGAUAGGCUUAACACAUGCAAGUCGAGGGGCAGCAUGGUCUUAGCUUGCUAAGACUGAUGGCGACCGGCGCACGGGUGCGUAACGCGUAUGCAACUUGCCUCACAGAGGGGGAUAACCCGUCGAAAGACGGACUAAUACCGCGUACACUUGGAGGGAGGCAUCUUCCACCAAGGAAAUGAAAUUCGCUGUGAGAUAGGCAUGCGUCCCAUUAGCUAGUUGGUGAGGUAACGGCUCACCAAGGCAACGAUGGGUAGGGGAACUGAGAGGUUGAACCCCCACACUGGUACUGAGACACGGACCAGACUCCUACGGGAGGCAGCAGUGAGGAAUAUUGGUCAAUGGGCGAGAGCCUGAACCAGCCAAGUCGCGUGAAGGAUGACUGUCUUAUGGAUUGUAAACUUCUUUUGUAGGGGAAUAAAGAGAGGUACGUGUACCUCAGUGAAUGUACCCUACGAAUAAGCAUCGGCUAACUCCGUGCCAGCAGCCGCGGUAAUACGGAGGAUGCGAGCGUUAUCCGGAUUUAUUGGGUUUAAAGGGUGCGUAGGCGGCCUGUUAAGUCAGCGGUGAAAUCUAGGAGCUUAACUCCUAAAUUGCCAUUGAUACUGGCGGGCUUGAGUGUAGAUGAGGUAGGCGGAAUGCGUGGUGUAGCGGUGGAAUGCAUAGAUAUCACGCAGAACUCCGAUUGCGAAGGCAGCUUACUAAGGUACAACUGACGCUGAAGCACGAAAGCGUGGGUAUCAAACAGGAUUAGAUACCCUGGUAGUCCACGCAGUAAACGAUGAUAACUGGGCGUAUGCGAUAUACAGUAUGCUCCUAAGCGAAAGCGUUAAGUUAUCCACCUGGGGAGUACGCCGGCAACGGUGAAACUCAAAGGAAUUGACGGGGGCCCG
rnacentral:rRNA from 1 species